rnacentral:rRNA from 1 species
CAGCCGCCGCGGUAAUACGUAGGGUGCGAGCGUUAAUCGGAAUUACUGGGCGUAAAGCGCACGUAGGCGGCUUCGCAAGUCAGAGGUGAAAGCCUGGAGCUCAACUCCAGAAUUGCCUUUGAGACUGCGUCGCUCGAAUCCGGGAGAGGUGAGUGGAAUUCCGAGUGCAGAGGUGAAAUUCGUAGAUAUUCGGAAGAACACCAGUGGCGAAGGCGGCUCACUGGACCGGCAUUGACGCUGAGGUGCGAAAGCGUGGGGAGCAAACAGGAUUAGAUACCCCCGUAGUCCCUGUCUCUUAUAC